UGUCGUCAGCUCGUGUUGUGAAAUGUUGGGUUAAGUCCCGCAACGAGCGCAACCCUUAUCCUUUGUUGCCAGCGGUCCGGCCGGGAACUCAAAGGAGACUGCCAGUGAUAAACUGGAGGAAGGUGGGGAUGACGUCAAGUCAUCAUGGCCCUUACGACCAGGGCUACACACGUGCUACAAUGGCGCAUACAAAGAGAAGCGACCUCGCGAGAGCAAGCGGACCUCAUAAAGUGCGUCGUAGUCCGGAUUGGAGUCUGCAACUCGACUCCAUGAAGUCGGAAUCGCUAGUAAUCGUGGAUCAGAAUGCCACGGUGAAUACGUUCCCGGGCCUUGUACACACCGCCCGUCACACCAUGGGAGUGGGUUGCAAAAGAAGUAGGUAGCUUAACCUUCGGGAGGGCGCUUACC
rnacentral:rRNA from 1 species